AUGUCCGGAGCGGGAGGCAAGUGGAUGGUCUCCUCCGUCACGAAGGGAGACAUCAAGAAACUGAGGAGAGCCGGAUACCUGCCCGACGACAUCACACACCGGCUUCCAGAUGAGGGACAGCUCAUCCCCACCCUCGAGCCCCAUGAGAGGGUGGUAUUCCUCACCCAUUUCCUCCGCGGACUGGGAUUCCCUCUCCAUACCUUUGUCUGGGAGCUCAUGUUUUAUUACGGCCUGGAUUUCCACGAUCUAGCCCUGAACUUUAUCCUCAACAUCUCGGCGUUUAUCGUCGUGUGUGAGGCCUUUCUCCGCAUCAAGCCCCACUUCGGCUUAUGGCUGAAGACCUUCCAUGUCAAGCCGAAGGUAGUGAGCGGCUGCCAGGCGGAGUGCGGAGGCGCC
rnacentral:rRNA from 1 species